rnacentral:rRNA from 1 species
CCUACGGGAGGCAGCAGUGAGGAAUAUUGGUCAAUGGGCGCGAGCCUGAACCAGCCAAGUCGCGUGAGGGAGGACGGCCCUACGGGUUGUAAACCUCUUUUGCCGGGGAGCAACGGGCGCCACGUGUGGCGUCACUGAGAGUACCCGGAGAAAAAGCAUCGGCUAACUCCGUGCCAGCAGCCGCGGUAAUACGGAGGAUACGAGCGUUAUCCGGAUUUAUUGGGUUUAAAGGGUGCGUAGGCGGAUCGUUAAGUCAGUGGUCAAAUUGAGGGGCUCAACCCCGUCCCGCCGUUGAAACUGGUUGACUUGAGUAUAUUAGAGGGAGGCGGAAGGCGUGGUGUAGCGGUGAAAUGCAUAGAUAUCACGCAGAACUCCGAUUGCGAAGGCAGCUUACUAAACUAUAACUGACACUGAAGCACGAAAGCGUGGGGAUCAAACAGGAUUAGAUACCCGAGUAGUC